rnacentral:rRNA from 1 species
CGAUUUAGCCAUGCUAGUCGCACGGGUUCAGACCCGUGGCAUAGUGCUCAGUAACACGUGGCCAAACUACCCUGUGGACGGAGAUAACCUCGGGAAACUGAGGCUAAUAUCCGAUACGACUCGCCAGCUGGAGUGCGGCGAGUCGGAAACGUUGCGGCGCCACAGGAUGUGGCUGCGGCCGAUUAGGUAGACGGUGGGGUAACGGCCCACCGUGCCCAUAAUCGGUACAGGUCAUGAGAGUGAGAGCCUGGAGACGGUAUCUGAGACAAGAUGCCGGGCCCUACGGGGCGCAGCAGGCGCGAAACCUUUACACUGCACGACAGUGCGAUAGGGGGACUCCGAGUGCGAGGGCAUAUAGUCCUCGCUUUUCUAUACCGUAAGGUGGUACAGGAAUAAGGGCUGGGCAAGACCGGUGCCAGCCGCCGCGGUAAUACCGGCAGCCCGAGUGAUGGCCGCUAUUAUUGGGCCUAAAGCGUCCGUAGCCGGCCAGACAAGUCCGUUGGGAAAUCCACGCGCUUAACGCGUGGACGUCCGGCGGAAACUGUCUUCCUUGGGGCCGGAAGAUCUGAGGGGUACGUCCGGGGUAGGAGUGAAAUCCCGUAAUCCUGGACGGACCGCCGGUGGCGAAAGCGCCUCAGAAAGACGGACCCGACGGUGAGGGACGAAAGCUAGGGUCUCGAACCGGAUUAGAUACCCGGGUAGUCCUAGCUGUAAACGAUGCUCGCUAGGUGUGCCGCAGGCUACGAGCCUGCGCUGUGCCGUAGGGAAGCCGUGAAGCGAGCCGCCUGGGAAGUACGUCUGCAAGGAUGAAACUUAAAGGAAUUGGCGGGGGAGCACUACAACCG